GCGCGUCGAGGGCUCCGAGCCAGACGCAGAUCUGAAGAGAUCCAAGAGAUUCAGAAAAAAGAUCGCCAACUUCUUCAAGAAAGGCAAGACUCGUCAUCAGAUCGCCGACAAGAUCCAAGAUAUCAAGGUCCGAGUCAAGGAGGUGGCUGACCUGCGUGAAAAAUACAAGGUCGACGAUGUCCGUGCUAAUCCAGCUGUCACAAACACCGUUGAUCCUCGCAUCAUUGCCCUGUUCAAGGAUCAGAAAGAACUCGUUGGCAUUGAGGAGCCAAGGAAUGAGGUAAUCAAGAGGCUGAUGAUGGAAGGGGAUGAUGACGGUUUGUUGAACUCCAGGAUGCAGCUCAAGAUACUCUCCAUCUUUGGAUUUGGAGGACUUGGCAAGACAACUCUUGCCAAAGCAGUCUAUGAUCUGCAACAAUCAAAUUUUGUUUGCAAGGCUUUUGUUUCAGUGGGUCAGAAUCCUAGUCUGAAGAAAGUUUUCAUGGAUAUUCUCCUCCAAGUUGAUGAGGCAGAGUCUAGUUCGAAUGCAUCCAUGUUGAACGAGGAGCAACUCAUCAGAAAGCUCCGAAGAUUUCUUGAGAACAAGAGGUACAUCUAUUCAUCCCAAUUUUUAAGUUCUUCAAAUGAUAAUGCAAAAGGUGAAGAAGACAGAAAGCAUGGCGACCAACAUGAUCAGGAAUACGAAAAUAGCAUACAUCUAUUCAUCCCAAUUUUUAUGUUCUUCAAAUGAACAAAUAUAGCUAAAACGGAAGGUUUAUUCCUCGUCGAGUUGUUUUGAAUAUCAUGAUUUCCGAUUUCCGUCGGCAUAUUCUUCCGUGAAACUUUGCGUGAUUUACCCACUCUUUUGGAAGUACUGGUGCUUCAGUAUAGUGUGAAUAGAGAAUUGCCUUCCCACUGAUUUUUGUAGAAAUCAUGGAGCACCGGUAGUUACUUAAAAUACUAACGGCGGCCUGACACUAGUGCUUGCUUUAGCUGCCCUUGAGGCUUGAGCGGUGAGAUGCUUGGAAAGUUUUGAGGUUGGAGGGGCAGAAAACUUUACAUUAAUUAUUAUGUACCGUUGAACUUGCAUGUGUCAAAUAUUUGUGUUAGAUGGAUGACGUUUGUACUUGGAUUUUUAAUUAGUGCAGACAGGGCAUAAGUCAUGUUACAGUGCAACAAUUAAUUUGUAAUGAAUUUAAUGUUGGAGUCAGAACUCAAAAAUCAGUUCAUGGCAUUAGUGCAGAUAGUGCAUGUGUAAUGUUAAAGUCCGACAGUUUGCAUCAAUUAAUUUGGAAUAAAUUAAAUGUUAGAGUCGGAACUCAAAAAUGUUGUGAGUCAAUUAACAACAAAUCAAUUAGAUUGAAAACUAUGAGUCGAACCCCUGUCCUGUUUUUAUCUAGUACCAAACCCCGCAUCCUUUAUUUACCUAUGUCUUAAUUUUUCUAUGAAGCACAAGUAUGUAUAUUGAACUAUGCUAUUUUCGGAUUCAUGAUCGUGUUGGUUGCCAUACUUCCUGUCUUCUUAUAAUGCUUAGACGUAUGUUUUUUUCCAAUGCAUGGCUCUCAUGACUGCCAUAUUCAACAGGUACCUCAUUGUCAUUGAUGAUAUAUGGGACAAGUUUCCAUGGAAUAUAAUGAAAUGUGCUUUGAUUGAUAGUAACUGUGGAAGUAGAAUAAUCACAACAACUCGUAUAUUUAAAGUUGCCGAAGAGGCGGACGAUGUUUACAAGCAAAAGAAACUUUCUUCUGGUACAUCCAAGGAAUUAUUCUAUACAAGAUUAUCUAUUGGUAAAUGCAAAAUUACUUCUGGUCAACCGAUUGAGAUAUCUGAAAAGAUUUUACAGAAAUGCGGUGGUGUGCCGUUAGCUAUCAUCACAAUAGCUAGUCUGUUGGCCAGUAAACCAUGGGAGGAUUGGUCUGAGGUGUAUGACUCUAUUGGUUUUCGAGAUGGAGCUAACAUACACGUCGAGAACACAAGAAAGAUAUUGCUAUAUAGCUACUAUGACCUGCCUUGUUAUCUAAGGGCAUGUUUGUUGCACCUCAGCAUAUAUCCUGAAGAUCAUGAGAUUCGGAAGGACACUUUGAUAUGGAAGUGGGUGGCGGAAGGUUUUGUCCAUGAGAAACCAGGGAUGGGGUUAUUUGAGCAGGGAGAGAGGUAUUUUAAUGAACUUAUUAACAGAAGUCUGAUCCAGCCGGUGGAGGAGCCAUAUAAGAGCAUCAUAUAUGCUUGCCGUGUGCAUGAUCUGGUGCUCGAUAUGAUCUGUCGCUUGUCAAAGGAAGAAAAUUUUGUUACUAUCCAUGGAAGUAGUAACACAGAACACCAACCUUCACAAAGCAAUGUCCGUAGGUUAGCUCUUCAAAACAUAGCCAUGGACGAAGAGCCUAAUUCAGAUAACACAGAGAUACGGCAAGUGAGGUCAUUCAAUGCCAUCAUGUGUGAUGUCAAGAGAAGAUCAUUUCUUUCAGGCUUCCAAGGCUUGAGAAUUCUUUCUAUGGAAAGAUGUACUUUUAUAAAUGAUGGUUCUUGUCACCUUGAGAAUCUUGGAAGGCUGCUUCAGCUGAGGUACCUUGGGCUCUUGGAAACACGUAUUACGGAACUCCCAGAAGAAAUAGGCAACCUGAGGUUUUUGCAGGUACUGGACUUGUGGGACACUGGAAUAAAAGAGCUGCCAGAGAGUGUCGGUCAGUUGAGGCGGCUAAAGUGCCUGCGUCUUUCUCGUGGUUUCAAAGGAGCACUGGGCUGGAUCGGUAACCUGGUGUUGCUAGAAGAGCUAUUUUUGCCCUAUGUCUCCUUGGAAAUUGCGAAAGAACUAGGCAAGCUGACAGAGUUGAGAGAGUACGGUGCUCUGUUGGGAGAGUCCGAUGACGCCUUAGUUGAUACUAGUAUACUGUUCAAUAAUAUGAUGGAAUCUCUAGAACAUCUGCAGAAGCUCCAAGCCAUACAAGUUUUUUUCUCGUGGCGGCGUGUUGACCAAGCCAAUCGCGAAGGCUACGUGCUCUCUCGGCACCUCCGUCGUCUGAAUCUGCAGGUCACAAUUGAAAAGCUGCCGGCGUGGAUCAUUUCGUCAAGCCUGCCGAACCUCUCUCACUUGACGAUGGCACUGGUUGCCGUGGAGGCGCAGGAUAUGGAGGUCCUCGGGAGCUUCCCAGAGCUCGUUUCCCUCAGCCUGCUGACUGAUCCUGACGUCAUCAUUCCUGACAUCAUGGGCGGCGGUGCGUACCCAAAGCUAAGAUACUACUCAACGACUGCAUCUGCCAGGUUCCUGCAGGGAGCCAUGCCCAGCCUUGAAUGUGUCCAGUAUUACAUCGGCGGCGAGCGCAAUGGCGCCAAGUUUGAGCGUGACAUUGCUAGCAUCGGGAACCUCCCUUGUCUUGACAGAGUCCAAGUAUUUUUCGAUUGUGCGAGUGGCACGCGGGAGAAGGGAGAGGCCGCGUUGAGGCAGGCAGUCGAGGUCCAUCCCAACAAUAUCCGCGUUGAGAUCUGAGGUUAGUUGUCUUACUAGCUCGAUCUUGGAUUCUUGGGGGAAGUAUUUGUGGUACGUACUGCUCCCUCCCUACUCAUCUUAGUAUGAUACUCAUGACCGCUAAUCAUUUCCAUUUUUUAUUUCAGAUCUAGCUUGUUGCCAGCGAAGCGUCCGAUUCCAAUCAGGUGCACCAAGAGGUACGUUCCUUCCAGGCCUGAUCAUAUCUACUCAACUAGUAUUACCCCAAUUAAUUGAUUCGAUCACAAGGACGCGCUUAUUACCGGAUAACUUUUUAUGUUUCGAAAGCCGUGCUUUUAUACUACAUUUGAAACAAAAGUGCGCAUGUACGUACGUACAUCUGCAUAUGCACUGAUGACUGAUCGGUCUGUCCACCCAUGUCUGUAUAUAUAAUCAUCCUUCUAUGUUUUGGCUCAAUGUAUUUUCCAGAAAUGUUUUCUCCCAACCUUUUUCAAUACUUCUCUUCAAAUACUUUCGUGCCAGAAUAAAAUAACUGACUUUUAAAUAUUGCAAUUACUUUUCUGCAUUUUGAAAUUAUUUUUCAAUCCUACCACUAGAUUUAAAAUGUUUACUUUUCUAGCAUCUUGUAAUAUCUGUUGCCAUAUUAUUUGCCAACGGUUGCAGUAUACUAACUGAAUUGCAAAAUGGUCCGAAGUUGCGCAAUGCCCAUGACGUUUUACCUUUCUGAUUAUUUGCAAAUUUGGACAGAAACGGCGCAGUGCAACACAGGAGGACGGAACCACCAUCUUGAGAAAGUCGAGGCACACCCAAACUACCUGGAGAUUUUGUCAAGCAGCAAAACAUGGCCACGUUGUGUCAAGUACUAAAAUAAUGCAGUUAUUUUAUUGGUGACAAUAUCUUAUUUGAACUAUUUUGUAAUCCCUUAUCAAUUCAAGAUCUUAUUAGAACCGCUUUUGCAAUCUUUUAUUGAUGUAAGAUCAGGCACACCCAAACUACCUUAAGAUGGUACUUUUGUAAUGCAGUUAUUUUAUUUGAACUAUUUGUAAUGUAUUUUGGUCAGAUUUAGGAUCUACUUGUUGGAAUGAUGAUGCUACAGCACCUUACUAAGCUAUCCAUAUUGUUAUUUUUUGAAAGUUUUAAGCUCUUUACUUGAUUUGUGGUGAUCUUACAUAGCAACUGAACUGUUCAUUUUAAACGUGGUGCCCUCAAUGGUAACCAGUUGGCAGAUAAGGCACAUUGAGGAAGUUGACGCAUUUGACUAGAGGCUUAGCAAUAGGUAUUAAAUUACACGCUACAUUCUUCGUUUAUCACCGUCCAAAGCCACGACAACUUUCUGGCUUUCUACUAUAGGUAACUAAUUCUGUUCAAGGGAGUUCACAGCUGAAAUAGCUCAAUCAAUCUGAGCAGAGAGACGAAUGAGAACACUUGGUAACCUCACAGUUGCAGGAGCCAAGCAGAUUCCAGCUGACCGCCGGCCGGCGAUGCAGGCUUGGCCCUCUCCAUCUUCUCCUCCGAUCUGAGCUCUCUUCCUCCUCCUCCUCUGACUCUUUGUCUCCACAUUUCUUUACCGUUAUGGGCUACGGCCCAUCUCUCAAUUUUGAAAAAUUCGAAAGGUGGAUUCUGAAUAUGUAUUUCUGUACAGAAAUUUUUGCAUGUCUGCUAGCUGAACAUGACCUAAUUUUAACCCGAUGAUAAUAUCUCGAUAUAGCUUCAAGGAAUGGAUUACAGAUUAACCCGAGCUAGACCAGCAGGUUCCUGCAGGGAGCCAUGCCCAGCCUUGAACGUGUGGAAUAUUACCUCGGCGAGCGCGAUGGUGCCAAGUUCGAGCGUGACAUUGCCAGCAUCGGGAACCUCCCUUGUCUUGACAGAGUCCAAUUAGCCUUUUACGGGUGUGAGCGUGUCACGCGGGAGAAGGGAGACGCCGCGUUGAGGCAGGCAGUCGAGGUCCAUCCCAACAAUAUCACGGUACUCGUAUGUUUUGCUAUAUAAAACUCCUACUAUCUCUUUCCAACAACAAAGGAUGUACUUUUGUAUCUUUAUGUAUUUUACGAUGCUAUCUGUAAUGUACUCUUGUAUCUGUAUUUUAUGAAGCUACUGCAUCUUACUAAGCUAUCUGUAUUGUAAUUUUGAAAAGUUUUAAGCUCAUUUACUUGAUUUGUGGUGAUCUUACGUAGCAGCUGAACUGUUCAUUCUAAAUGGGGCGCCCUCAAUGGUAAAAUCCUAAAUCCCAAUCUGCUGAGGAAGUUGACGCCUUUGAGCUAGAGGAAGCUGACGCCUUUAAAUAUCAGUACUGUAUGAUUUCAAGGGAUUGUGAGACCUCUUUUGUACAUAAGAAACACUUGUGUUUCUUCUCCAACAGAGGAAACCGCUUUCAGUCAUCUGCCAAAGCCAGUAUAACAUUCCAAGGACAGCAGCUUGGUGUUCCAAUUUGUUAAGAGGGGACAUUCGCCAAAACCACAAGACAUUGGAGGGCAGCAGUAGCAGAGUAUAUAUGAUGCAUACCUUGAGGACGGAGUUGAUGGCGCUGGUGGCAGUGGUCGGUCUGCUUCCGGUAGCGCGCGACGGCGGCGAGCAGCGCGCGGGCCUCCGCCUCCACGCGCUCCUCGUUCUCGAACAGCUGCUGCACGCCGUCCUCCACCCACGCCGCGCUGCUCAGGGCGCUCUUCUUCGCCCUCUCUGCGGAGCAAUUAGAAAGGAGCGCCGAUUCCAGCUGCCCCCCCGGCCGGCGAUGCAGGCUUGGUCCUCUCCAUCUUCUCCGAUCUGAGCUCUCCUUUCUUCUUUCUCCUCCGACUCUCUUUUUUUUUUGAGAAUCUCUCCUCCGACUCUCU
rnacentral:lncRNA from 1 species